GACAUAGCAGGAAUAAUACUGCCUUUUCUUUCUGGCAUGGAUCAAGAGAAAAGAAAAUACAAGAAAACAGACAGAAGAUCCUAUCUGCGACAAUUAAGAGCACUCUAAGAGGAAAACACAUCCCACCACAGCAAGGUACUUCUAUGGAAGGGUGAGCCCUCACAGAUGGAGCAAUGGGGCGCGCACACCUGAACAAGGGAGGGGAAGGAGUUCUUAUCCCUGAUGCAUGUGACCCCUGCUGCUGUGUCCUUCCCCUAUUGGCUAAGGCUUCUGACAGCUUUGGAGAUUGUGACAUUGGAAUAAAGGAAAAACGUACAGGACUCAUGAAGCGCUGAAAUGUUCACAAAUAUCAAGCAAAAGUCAAUGAAAUUUAUUUUGAGCUAUUUACAUCAUUUAAUAAUUGAGCAAGGUAUACUCCUAUGAACAAAAUUUGGAGCAUGUUUGUCUCUCUCUGCCUGGCGUCUUCAGAAUUUGGAAACUAGUUAUGGUUUAUAAUCAGCUAUAGAAUUUUAACACGUGCUCUCAAAUGCAAGUUUCUGAUAACUUUGGAGAUUGUGACAUUGGAAUAAAGGAAGAGCUGGAAUGUUCAUGAAUAUCAAGCAAAAGUCAUGGAAAUUUAUUUUGAGCUAUUUACAGCAUUUAAUAAUUGAGCAAGGUAUACUCCUAUGAACAAAAUUUGGAGCAUGUUUGUCUCUCUCUGUCUGCCUGGCAUCUACAGAAUUUGGAAACUAGUUUCGUUCCCAGAUUUCCUAAACUUUCCAGAGAAAAUGGUCUUCUCCCUGGCUCAGCAAGAAGAUGAACUUUAAACACUGAGAAACUGGUCAUCUCCCUGGCUCAACCAGAAGAUGAACUUUAAACACUACUCUCAAUGACUUGAUGUUCCCAUCACUACUCCUGUCAUAAAGGGAGGGGACUCAGAUAUUGAGAAUUUUAUGAUAGUGUGAACUGUCUGCUGUCAGCCAGGAGGGCAGAGCUGAAAUUUAUUGCCACAUCACAUGAAGCAUAGAACAGACUCCACUACUCCUUGAGAUUCAAAACUUUGCCUCUCACAAAGUUACCUUUUAUUUUCCUCUUGUUUGUCACUCAUCUCCCCUAGUGUGCUCUUUUUAUUUCUUUUACUAUUAAUAAUAAAAUCUGUGGAUGACUGUA
rnacentral:lncRNA from 1 species